rfam:Schistosoma mattheei strain Denwood, Zambia genome assembly, scaffold: SMTD_scaffold0015263
AUCCAGCAGUCGAGUCUCAAAUAAGACAAAACGCGUGUCCUGGAU